GCCUGUUUUGCUCAGUGGAUAGAGUGUCAGCCCAUGGACUGAAAGGUCCCAGGUUCGAUUCCUGUGAAAGGCA
rnacentral:tRNA from 1 species